rnacentral:rRNA from 1 species
CAGCAGCCGCGGUAAUACGAAUGUGGCAAGCGUUGUUCGGAAUCACUGGGCAUAAAGCGUACGUAGGUGGUAUAGUAAGUUAACCUUGAAAUCCCCUGGCUCAACCAGGGAAUAGGGGUUAAUACUGCUAGACUAGAGUACAGAAGGGGAGAGUGGAAUUCUUGGUGUAGCGGUGGAAUGCGAAGAUAUCAAGGAGAAGGCCGGUGGCGAAAGCGACUCUCUGGUCUGAUACUGACACUGAGGUACGAAAGCGUAGGUAGCGAACGGGAUUAGAUACCCCGGUAGUCUACGCCGUAAACGAUGGGCACUAGAUGGUGGGAUCGCCGAUAGAUUUCUCCGUCGAAGCAGAUGCGUUAAGUGCCCCGCCUGGGGAGUAUGGCCGCAAGGUUAAAACUCAAAGGAAUUGACGGGGGCCCACACAAGCGGUGGAGGAUGCGGCUUAAUUCGAGAUACGCGUAGAACCUUACCAAGGUUUGACAUGUAGGGAUUAAUCUGGUGAAAGCCAGAGGAUUGCCUUACGGUGUAACCUACACAGGUGCUGCAUGGCUGUCGACAGUUCGUGUCGUGAGAUGUUAGGUUAAGUCCUGAAACGAGCGAAACCCCUGUGCUUAAUUGCCAGCGCGUCAUGGCGGGGACAUUAAGCAGACUGCCUCGGCUAACGGGGAGGAAGGUGGGGAUGACGUCAAGUCAGCAUGGCCUUUAUGCCUUGGGCUGCACGCGUCCUACAAUGGGCUGUACAAUGGAGACCAAUAUCGCGAGAUGGAGGAAAUCCUUAAAGCAGCUCUCAGUUCGGAUUGCAGGCUGAAACUCGCCUGCAUGAAGGUGGAAUCGCUAGUAAUCGCCGGUCAGCUACACGGCGGUGAAUACGUCCCUGGGCCUUGUACACACCGCCCGUCAAGCCACCCGAGUUGGGAGCACUCGAAAUCCGAGACCUAACCUGCUUGCAGGAAGGAUCGGCUGAAGGUGAAUCUGAUGAGGUGGACUAAGUCGUAACAAGGUA